AACGCUAGCUACAGGCUUAACACAUGCAAGUCGAGGGGUAACAUGGAGGGAGCUUGCUUCCUCCGAUGACGACCGGCGAAUGGGUGAGUAACGCGUAUCCAACCUGCCCCUUUCCCACGGAUAGCCCUUAGAAAUGAGGAUUAAUACGUGAUGGCAUCCGGCAAUCGCAUGAGCGCCGGAUUAAAGAUUCAUCGGAAAGGGAUGGGGAUGCGUCUGAUUAGGUAGUUGGCGGGGUAACGGCCCACCAAGCCAGCGAUCAGUAGGGGUUCUGAGAGGAAGGUCCCCCACAUUGGUACUGAGACACGGACCAAACUCCUACGGGAGGCAGCAGUGAGGAAUAUUGGUCAAUGGGCGCAAGCCUGAACCAGCCAAGUAGCGUGCAGGAUGACGGCCCUAUGGGUUGUAAACUGCUUUUGUCGGGGAAUAAAGUGACCCACGCGUGGGUUAUUGCAGGUACCCGGUGAAUAAGGACCGGCUAAUUCCGUGCCAGCAGCCGCGGUAAUACGGAAGGUCCGAGCGUUAUCCGGAUUUAUUGGGUUUAAAGGGAGCGUAGGUGGAAGUGUAAGUCAGCCGUCAAAUUGCGCAGCUCAACUGCGUCCAGCGGUUGAAACUGCACUUCUUGAGUGCACAAGAGGAAGGUGGAAUUCGUGGUGUAGCGGUGAAAUGCUUAGAUAUCACGAAGAACUCCGAUUG
rnacentral:rRNA from 1 species